GAUGUGGCGUAAGUAGGAUGAUAAAAAAAAAAUAAAAAUUAUUAUUUUAGGAAUAAUUGAUCAUCGUAUUAAUAAACUACAAUUAUCAUCUUUAACAAAAUAAUUUAAUUAGGAAUUAGGAACUGAAAGUUCUUUUAAAUACAUCAAAUAUGUUUCGACAUGUAAUGAAAGCUAUAGGAUCCCUCAGAAUUAGGACAUACGGAGCUAGUUAUCACAGUGGAAAUUAUAGAAAUACUAAGGAAAGAGGAUCUCUAUAUAGAAAUAAUAUUAAUAAUAGGAAUGGACGAUUUGAAAAUCGAGGAAAAAACAAUAUGCAUAAUACCAAUGGAAUUUUGAAAAAGCCAAAUUGGAAUUUUGAAAAUUUAAAACCUUUCAAAAAAGAUUUUUAUAUACCACAUCCUAAUGUUCAAGCACGUCACCCGCAAGAAAUAGAUAUGUUUAGACAAGAAAAUCAAAUUACUCUUAAAGGAGAAAAAAUUCCUAAUCCUAUUCAGCAUUUUGAAGAAGGAAAUUUUCCUGAUCAUGUAAUGCAAUGUAUAAGAAAACAAGGAUUCAGUGAACCAACUGCUAUUCAAGCUCAAGGAUGGCCAAUUGCUAUGUCUGGACAUAAUAUGGUUGGAAUAGCACAAACUGGAUCUGGAAAAACAUUAGGAUAUAUUCUACCUGCAAUAGUACAUAUUAGCAGUCAACAACCAUUAAAUCAUGGAGAUGGACCAAUUGCUUUAAUUUUAGCACCAACUAGAGAAUUGGCACAGCAAAUUCAAAAGGUUACUUGUAGUUUUGGCUAUGUAAGAAGCACUUGUAUUUUUGGUGGUGCACCAAAAGGAAGCCAAGCUCGUGAUUUAGAACAAGGAGUUGAGAUUUGCAUUGCUACACCUGGACGAUUAAUUGAUUUUUUGGAACGUGGCACAACUAAUUUACGUAGAUGUACAUAUUUGGUAUUGGAUGAAGCAGAUAGAAUGUUAGAUAUGGGUUUUGAACCACAGAUUAGAAAAAUUAUUGAACAAAUCAGACCAGAUAGACAAGUAUUAAUGUGGUCUGCAACUUGGCCAAAAGAAGUUCGAAACCUUGCAGAAGAAUAUCUUGUAGAUUAUACACAAUUGAAUAUUGGAUCAUUAACAUUAUCAGCUAACCAUAAUAUUCUUCAAAUUGUUGAUGUUUGCGAGGAAGAUGAAAAACAAACAAAAUUGCAAAACCUUCUUCAAGAAAUCAAUAGUGUUAGUCCAGAUGGUGGAAAGACAAUAAUUUUUGUAGAAACAAAAAAAAAAGUGGAGAGUAUCACUAAAACUAUCCGUCGUUAUGGCUGGCCAGCUGUAUGUAUACAUGGUGACAAAUCACAAUUAGAAAGAGAUUUCGUUCUUUCAGAAUUUAGGAGGAAUAAAGAUUCUAUUCUUGUAGCAACAGAUGUUGCUGCUCGUGGAUUGGAGGCACAUGGUGCACAAAUUGUGUUGAGUGUGCGAUGAAAAACGAUCGUUCAAUAAAGAAAACAUGGCUCACUCAUUGUACAUGCGCAAUUCUGUUUUGCACAUAAUAUUGUACUUAAUGUGCCUCUGUGUUCAGCCUGUGUACCACGCAAGUAGUAGAGUGGUGCGCGGGUGAUACUGUUGGUUGGUUGUGAGAUAAGACCAUGGUUUACAUUUUGGUACAACCAUCACACUUCAUAGCCAAUGCUCAGCCCGAGACAACAAUCUAUUGAUUUUGCUACUAUCGCUACUCUGUGAUGAUGCUUAGGACACGACGUGAUAUGAAAUUGCAUUUAAGAAUAGCAUACAUCGUGGGCGCUCUGUAUGCUGUCAUAAUAUUCAACGAUAAACAUGAUGUUGACGAUGUAAAGUACGUGAUCAACUUUGAUUAUCCAAAUUCAUCUGAAGACUACAUUCAUAGAAUUGGUAGAACGGGCCGUUCAAAUAAUUCAGGAACGAGUUAUGCAUUCUUUACACCACAAAAUGGUCGACAGGCUAAAAGUUUGGUUAAUGUACUUAGAGAAGCAAAA
rnacentral:misc_RNA from 1 species